rnacentral:rRNA from 1 species
CUACGGGCUGCUGCAGUGGGGGAUAUUGCACAAUGGGGGAAACCCUGAUGCAGCAACGCCGCGUGAAGGAAGACGGAUUUCGGUCUGUAAACUUCUAUCAGCUGGGAAGAAAAUGACGGUACCAGACUAAGAAGCCCCGGCUAACUACGUGCCAGCAGCCGCGGUAAUACGUAGGGGGCAAGCGUUAUCCGGAUUUACUGGGUGUAAAGGGUACGUAGGCGGUUAGUUAAGUCAGAUGUGAAAGCCCGGAGCUCAACUCCGGGACUGCAUUUGAAACUGGGUAACUAGAGUACAGAAGAGGAAAGCGGAAUUCCUAGUGUAGCGGUGAAAUGCGUAGAUAUUAGGAAGAACACCAGUGGCGAAGGCGGCUUUCUGGACUGUAACUGACGCUGAGGUACGAAAGCGUGGGGAGCGAACAGGAUUAGAUACCCCGGUAGUC